AUUGAACGCUGGCGGCAUGCCUUACACAUGCAAGUCGAACGGCAGCACGGGUGCUUGCACCUGGUGGCGAGUGGCGAACGGGUGAGUAAUACAUCGGAACAUGUCCUGUAGUGGGGAUAGCCCGGCGAAAGCCGGAUUAAUACCGCAUACGAUCUACGGAUGAAAGCGGGGGACCUUCGGGCCUCGCGCUAUAGGGUUGGCCGAUGGCUGAUUAGCUAGUUGGUGGGGUAAAGGCCUACCAAGGCGACGAUCAGUAGAUGGUCUGAGAGGACGACCAGCCACACUGGGACUGAGACACGGCCCAGACUCCUACGGGAGGCAGCAGUGGGGAAUUUUGGACAAUGGGCGAAAGCCUGAUCCAGCAAUGCCGCGUGUGUGAAGAAGGCCUUCGGGUUGUAAAGCACUUUUGUCCGGAAAGAAAUCCUUGGCUCUAAUACAGUCGGGGGAUGACGGUACCGGAAGAAUAAGCACCGGCUAACUACGUG
rnacentral:rRNA from 1 species